AACGAACGCUGGCGGCAGGCCUAAACAUGCAAGUCGAACGGGUGUAGCAAUACAUCAGUGGCGCACGGGUGAGUAACGCGUGGGAACGUGCCCUUCAGUACGGGACAACGUCGGGAAACUGACGCUAAUACCGUAUAAUGACUCCGGUCCAAAGAUUUAUCGCUGAAGGAGCGGCCCGCGUCUGAUUAGCUAGUUGGUGAGGUAAUGGCUCACCAAGGCUACGAUCAGUAGCAGGUCUGAGAGGAUGAUCUGCCACACUGGGACUGAGACACGGCCCAGACUCCUACGGGAGGCAGCAGUUAGGAAUAUUGGACAAU
rnacentral:rRNA from 1 species